GAUAUGGCAUUAAUUACUAAAAAAUUUAAAAAAAUUUUGAGGAGAAAAAAGCAAAACUACAAAAAGAAACCAAUAGUCAAAGAAGAAUCGAGCAAGACAAAGAUAAAAAAGAGAGAAUCAGUCCAUUUGUUAUGAAUACAAAAAAAAUCAAACAUUUCAAAGCCGAUUGUCCAAAACUUAAGAAGAACCUCAAGGAGACAAAGAAGAAAGUUAUGGUUGCAAUAUAGAGUGAUAGUGAGGACUUUAGCACCAACAAUGAAAAUUAGAAUUUUGCUAACUUGUAUCUCAUGGCA
rnacentral:lncRNA from 1 species